rnacentral:rRNA from 1 species
UACGUAGGGGCCGAGCGUUUGUCCGGAGUUAUUGGGCGUAAAGCGCGCGCAGGCGGCCUCGCGCGCCCGACGUGAAAGCCCCCGGCUUAACCGGGGAGGGUCGUUGGGGACGGCGGGGCUUGAGGGCGGGAGAGGGUGGUGGAAUUCCCGGUGUAGUGGUGAAAUGCGUAGAGAUCGGGAGGAACACCAGUGGCGAAGGCGACUACCUGGCCUGUUCUUGACGCUGAGGCGCGAAAGCUAGGGGAGCAAACGGG